UACGAGAGGCCCAAACGUUAUUCGGAAUUACUGGGCUUAAAGAGUUCGUAGGCGGCGCAGAAAGUAGGGUGUGAAAGCCCUCGGCUCAACCGAGGAAUUGCGCUCUAAACUACUGUGCUUGAGGAAGCUAGAGGUGAGCAGAACAGAUGGUGGAGCGGUGAAAUGCGUAGAUAUCGUUUGGAACGCCAAUGGUGAAAACAGGUUGCUGGGAGUGUGCUGACGCUGAGACACGAAAGCCAGGGGAGCGAACGGG
rnacentral:rRNA from 1 species